UACGAAGGGGGCUAGCGUUGCUCGGAAUUACUGGGCGUAAAGGGCGCGCAGGCGGACAGUUUAGUCAGAGGUGAAAGCCCAGGGCUCAACCUUGGAAUUGCCUUUGAUACUGGCUGUCUUGAGUUCGGGAGAGGUGAGUGGAAUGCCGAGUGUAGAGGUGAAAUUCGUAGAUAUUCGGCGGAACACCAGUGGCGAAGGCGACUCACUGGCCCGAUACUGACGCUGAGGCGCGAAAGCGUGGGGAGCAAACAGG
rnacentral:rRNA from 1 species